rfam:Trichomalopsis sarcophagae strain Alberta scaffold12594, whole genome shotgun sequence.
CAAUCAGCCCUUUUCAGGGCUACCAUAUAAAUUAAAACGUAAGAAU